UUGCAUGACAGAUGUUACUCUUGUGCUCCUUGCCGUGGUACAUCAGAGUAUCGAAGUCAUGCUAGAGGAAGUUCAAAGGGAGUUGUCAGGGCUGCCAGUUGUCAAGUACAGACUGAGUGGUAGUAUAAUACUCCUACACUA